UGGGGAAUUUUCCGCAAUGGGCGAAAGCCUGACGGAGCAAUGCCGCGUGGAGGUGGAAGGCCUACGGGUCGUCAACUUCUUUUCUCGGAGAAGAAACAAUGACGGUAUCUGAGGAUAAGCAUCGGCUAACUCUGUGCCAA
rnacentral:rRNA from 1 species